CAAUCGGAUCUUCUCAGAUCCACAAAUUCCUCCUAAGAUCCCUAA
rfam:Picea glauca, whole genome shotgun sequence.